GACGAACGCUGGCGGCGUGCUUAACACAUGCAAGUCGAACGAUGAAGAAAAGAAUCGAAGCUUCGGCAGAAAUUCAUUUCGGAUUAGUGGCAGACGGGUGAGUAACGCGUGAGCAACCUACCUCUUACAAAGGGAUAGCCUCGGGAAACCGGGAUUAAUACCAUAUAACAUUGCGACGAAGCAUUUCGAUGCAAUCAAAGCUACGGCGGUAAGAGAUGGGCUCGCGUCCCAUUGACCGGAUGGUGAGGUAACGGCUCACCAUAGUGACGAUGGGUAACCGGCCUGAGAGGGUGAACGGUCACACUGGAACUGAGACACGGUCCAGACUCCUACGGGAGGCAGCAGUGGGGAAUAUUGCACAAUGGAGGGAACUCUGAUGCAGCGACGCCGCGUGAGUGAUGAAGGAAUUCGUUUCGUAAAACUCUGUUCUAUGGGAAGAAAAGGACUGUACCAUAGGAGAAAGCUCCGGCUAAAUACGUGCCAGCAGCCGCGGUAAUACGUAAGGUCCGGGCGUUAUCCGGAUUUAUUGGGUUUAAAGGGAGCGUAGGCCGCCAGGUAAGCGUGUUGUGAAAUGUACCGGCUCAACCGGUGAAUUGCAGCGCGAACUGUCUGGCUUGAGUGCACGGUAAGCAGGCGGAAUUCAUGGUGUAGCGGUGAAAUGCAUAGAUAUUACGCAGAACUCCGAUUGCGAAGGCAGCUUACAAAACUACUACUGACACUGAGGCACGAAAGCGUGGGUAUCAAACAGGAUUAGAUACCCUGGUAGUCCACGCCGUAAACUAUGAUUACUCAGAGUAUGCGAUAUACAGUAUGCUCUCAAGCGAAAGCAUUAAGUAAUCCACCUGGGGAGUACGUCGGCAACGAUGAAACUCAAAGGAAUUGACGGGGGCCCGCACAAGCGGAGGAACACGUGGUUUAAUUCGAUGAUACGCGAGGAACCUUACCUGGGAUUGAAAUGUAUAGGCUGGCAGCUGGAAACAGCUGCUGUUCACUUCGGUGACUUAUAUGUAGGUGCUGCAUGGUUGUCGUCAGCUCGUGCCGUGAGGUGUCGGCUUAAGUGCCAUAACGAGCGCAACCCUUAUCGUUAGUUGCUAACAGGUUAAGCUGAGGACUCUGGCGAGACUGCCGUCGUAAGGCGAGAGGAAGGUGGGGAUGACGUCAAAUCAUCAUGCCCCUUAUGUCCAGGGCUUCACACAUGCUACAAUGGUCGGUACAACGCGCAGCGACACUGUGAGGUGGAGCGAAUCGCUGAAAGCCGGCCUUAGUUCGGAUUGGGGUCUGCAACUCGACCCCAUGAAGUCGGAGUCGCUAGUAAUCGCAGAUCAGCAACGCUGCGGUGAAUACGUUCCCGGGCCU
rnacentral:rRNA from 1 species